GGAAGGGUAGGCGGGGAAAAGUCUAGGAAGGAGGGAGGAGGAAGGGAAGCAAGGAAAAUCAAGAUGGAGACAACAGAACAGGGUGAUCCAGAUCCAGGUGGACUGGGUCGUUUUCGUCUAGCAAUUAACCAUCACGCGGGUUAAAGCGCUUGCUACUGAAGCAUGAAGAUCUGAAUUUGGAUCUCAAAAGCUCAUGCGAAGCAGAAUGUUGAGGAAGUGUGGCCAGGGUGUGGAGGCCAGGCGUAUGUCCAGGAUAUCCCUGUAUGGAGGUCUAUGAAGCUGUGAAGGUGAAGCCUGGAUUGGGUUGAAAACUCCAAAAUGUUGGAGAUGUCAGGGUUGUGGGAUACCUGCCAAGGAGAGCUGCAGACCAAGUGUGGAACCAACACAGAGAAGUGUGAUGCAGUCAACAAAGCUGAGAGGAGUUGGAGAUCAGAAGACGGCUUUGACGGCAGACAUAGAUGCCGAAUUUGGAGAUGGCCCAGCUGUUCUUCAGUCUUCCUUUGGUCCAGCGUUUCCUCACUGUUCUCCCUUCCCUCCCUUUUGGAAUAGUAAUGUCUGUUCUUUGCCAUUGUAUAUUAGAAGUGUAUAUUCUGCUUUUUUAUUUUGAUUUUACAGGGGGUUACAGCUCGGAGAUUGCCCUGCGUCGUGGAAGAUUUUGAACUUUGGACUUUUACAUGGUGUUGAGACUGAUGAACUGCUGGGACUUUUGAAGUUGGACUAAAUGCAAUUUUUUUGCAUUUUGAUAUGACUCUACGUCUGUGGGGGCCAGAGGGUGGAAUGUGGGGGAUUAAAUAAGAACAAACCCCAAAA